GAACGAACGCUGGCGGCAUGCCUAACACAUGCAAGUCGAACGAAGCCUUCGGGCUUAGUGGCGCACGGGUGCGUAACGCGUGGGAAUCUGCCCCUUGCUUCGGAAUAACAGUUAGAAAUGACUGCUAAUACCGGAUGAAGUCUUCGGACCAAAGAUUUAUCGGCAAGGGAUGAGCCCGCGUAGGAUUAGGUAGUUGGUGGGGUAAAGGCCUACCAAGCCGACGAUCCUUAGCUGGUCUGAGAGGAUGAUCAGCCACACUGGGACUAAGACACGGCCCAGACUCCUACGGGAGGCAGCAGUGGGGAAUAUUGGACAAUGGACGCAAGUCUGAUCCAGCAAUGCCGCGUGAGUGAUGAAGGCCUUAGGGUUGUAAAGCUCUUUUACCAGGGAUGAUAAUGACAGUACCUGGAGAAUAAGCUCCGGCUAACUCCGUG
rnacentral:rRNA from 1 species